GACGAACGCUGGCGGCGUGCUUAACACAUGCAAGUCGAACGAUGAUGCCCAGCUUGCUGGGUGGAUUAGUGGCGAACGGGUGAGUAACACGUGAGUAACCUGCCCCUGACACUGGGAUAAGCGUUGGAAACGACGUCUAAUACUGGAUAUGACUGCCGGCCGCAUGGUCUGGUGGUGGAAAGAUUUUUUGGUUGGGGAUGGACUCGCGGCCUAUCAGCUUGUUGGUGAGGUAAUGGCUCACCAAGGCGACGACGGGUAGCCGGCCUGAGAGGGGGACCGGCCACACUGGGACUGAGACACGGCCCAGACUCCUACGGGAGGCAGCAGUGGGGAAUAUUGCACAAUGGGCGAAAGCCUGAUGCAGCAACGCCGCGUGAGGGAUGACGGCCUUCGGGUUGUAAACCUCUUUUAGUAGGGAAGAAGCGAAAGUGACGGUACCUGCAGAAAAGGCACCGGCUAACUACGUGCCAGCCGCCGCAGUAACAC
rnacentral:rRNA from 1 species